CAAAUAUCCAACACACAACAAAAACCCAACAACUGUAUAAGCUGAGAAUUUUAAUUUAAAGAAGACCAAAAUUGGUAGUGUCCCCAUGUCUGAUGGAAACAAACACAAAUUCUCCCAUGAAGAAUUUACAUUUAGGGCCUUGAAUAAUUUGCAUAUAGUUUUAAUGAGCAUAAAGUCACACACAUACAUAAACAUCAUGAAAAAUAUAGGGGAAUAAAGCACCAUUAGCAAGAGUCAGCAGAAACAAUAGAAAUAUUUAUAAAGAUUAUUAGAUUACUGGAACUAUCAGAUACAGAAUAUAAAGCUGUUUGAUAUGUUUACAUAAAUAAAUGAAAAAAAUUUUAAACAUAAUUAUAAUUCAUAACCACCAAAUGACAAUGCAUUUUUGAAAAACAACAAAAUAUAAUAAUUAAAAUUGAAAACUUAAUGGAGCUUUUGCUUUUUGGACAUAGCAAUAGCAAGCCAUUACUCCACCAUAACUUAGGAAGUAAGCACAUUGUAUAUAUUUUUUUCUUUGAAGACACUGGAGACCGAUGUAAGCAAUGACUUAGCUUAACUAAAAUUCUUAAGAAGGAAAAACAUUUCCUGAGUGAGCUGGCCUUAUUCUCUGAGGUCAUUUCUCAAACAUGAGAGCUGAGGACUGGGCCCUGCUAAAGGUACUGGCAUCUCUACUAGAGGAAAGAGAAUCCAACAGACAUUUUGACAGCCAUUGGGAUGGCAUGACGGAUUGGAAUCUAGAAAAACCCCCAAAUGCAUGGCCAGUUUGCCCUAUGGGGCAUUUGCUGAGUACUAGGGCAGCAUGGAAGGGUGGAAGGUGGGGCUAGGAAGGCGAGAAAGACAAGGUUAAACCUUUCAUAGUCUUUUUUUUUUUUUUUUUUUUUUGAGACAGGGUCUCACUCUGUCACCCAGGCUGGAGUGCUGUGGUGCAAUCACAACUCACUGCAGUCUCGACCUCCUGGGAUUAAGUGAUCCUCCAGGCUCAGCUUCCUGAGUAGCUGGGAUCACAGGCAUGCACCACUACGCCUGGUUAAUUUUUGUAUUUUUACAAGAGACAGGGUUUCACCAUAUUGCCCAGGCUGGCCUCUAACUUCUGGGCUCAAUCGGUUGGUCCACCUCAGCCUCCCAAAGUGCUGGGGUUACAGGUGUGAGCCACAGAGUCUGGCCCCUUUCAUAGUCUUGAUAUGCUUGGAAACAAAAUUCUGAGAAAGACAAGUCCACAAUAAACAUAUGGCAGGCCUCAUUCUGUAGACAUUUGAAACUACAGGGCACUGAAUCUAAUCAAGGUGGCUUCCUAGCCCUAGCCCAGUUCAAUUCCUAAUAAAGUGAUGAGUUCUCACCCUACUCAGCAGGGAAAGGACAAACUCUCUAUGGAGGAAAAUAUGACCAACUUCAGUCUUUAUGGUUCUUUAAAAAUAGAAUGUCUGCUGUACACUUAAAAAAAAUUAUGGAACAUGCAAGGAAGCAGAAAAAUGUAACUGACGAAGAGAAAAAAAAAAAACACAGAAGCAGACCCCACAGAUUAUUCAAAUGUAAAAGUAAUCAGACAAGGAUUUUAAAACAACUAUCAUGAAAAUUUAUGAAAGUAGAGGAAAAGAACAAAAUGUGUGAAAAGGGAGAAUUUUAAUAGAGAAUUGGAAUUUACUCAUCUGUUUUUGAGAUGGAGUCUUGCUCUGUUGCCCAGGCUGGAGAGCAGUGGUGCCAUCUCAGCUCACUGCAACUUCCGCCUCCUGGGUUCAAGUGAACCUCCUGCCUUAGCCUCAUGAGUAGCUGGGGCUACAGGUGUGUACCACCACACCCAGAUAAUUUUUGUAUUUUUAGUAGAGACGGUGUUUUGCCAUGUUGGCCAGGCUGGUCUCGAACUCCUGACCUCAGAUGAUCCGCCUGCCUCGGCCUCCAAGAAUUGGAAAUUAUGUAAAAGAAGCAAAUGAACAUUCCAGACACGAAAAGUACAAUACCUGAAAUUAAGAGCUCAUUUGAUGGAUUUAACAGCAGACUAUACCCUAAAUAUAGUAGGAUUUGUGAAUUUGAAAGAUACAUAGUAGAAAAUAAGGUAAACUAAGCUAAGCUAAACCGUUCUUACCAUAUGAUCCAGUAAUCAUACUCCUUAGUCUUUACUCAAAUGAGUUAAAAAAAACUUUUGUCCACAAAAAUAUGCACAAAUGUUUAUAGCAGCUUUGUUUAUAAUUGCCAGAACUGGAAGCAACUAAGAUGUCCUUCCAAAACUGGAAGCAACCAAGAUGUGAAUGAACAAAGUGUGAUACAUCUGUACAAUGGAGUAUUAUUUAGUGAUAAAGGAAAUGAGCUAUCAAACCUUAAAAAGCCAUGAAUCUUAAAUGCAUACUGCUAAGUGAAAGCUGCUUGUCUGAAAAGGCUACAUACUGUGUGAUUCCAAGUAUCUAAGACUCUGGAAAAAGCAAAGCAGUAGAGACAGUCAAAAGAUCAGUGGCUGCCAGAGGAUUGGGGAUGGAGGAAAAGAGAGGGAUGAAUGGGUGGAGCACAGGGGAGUAAAACUAUUCUGACAUUAAAAUGGCAGAUAUAUAAAUGCAUUUGCUAAAACCCAUAGAAAAGCAUGGCACCUAAUGUAAACUGUACUCAGUUGUUAACAGUGUAACCAUAUGAGUUCAUCAGUGGUAACAAAUACAAGAUAAUAGUGAAAACUCUACGGGUAGGGAAUUCUGUACUUGCUGCUCAAUUUUUUCUGUAAACCUAAAACUGCUCUAAAAUGCAGUACAAUUUACUAAUUUGUUUUAAAAAACAGUUAAUAGAAACUAUCUAAACCAAAGCAUAGAGAGGAAAAAAGAAAACCAUGGAGGCUUCUGGCAGUAUAGCUAAAAAAUCCUAGAUUCCAGCUAAAUUAGAAUAAGUAUGAAGAGUGGCCACAAAUACCCUAGGUAUGCUAGUGAGAAAUUAUCUGUAUUUCUCCUCUGUUCUCUGUAGAAAUUUAAAUUUUCCCCAUGCUGUUUUAUCAUCUACCUCAUAUCAUACUGAAUCCCUACCUAGAAAAAUGUAAAACACAUAAUUAGCUCAGGAGCCAAACUCCUGCAUAAUUAAUCUGUUACCACCCUAUACAUUUUAAUGCAAGGCUGAAUUCACAAGAUAUAAAUGAAAUUCUCCAAGGACAAGAAAUCAAAACAAAAGGGAAAAAACCCUGAAGUCAGAACUAGAGGCAGUGAGCAGUAAAAGAAUAGGAAAUCAGGGGUUGCCCCUUGGGGAUAAUGGCAAAACCCACUGAAAUCACUAGAAGGUAAGAGAACCAAGCCUGAGAUUCCUGCACUGGGGUUAGAGCAGUGCCAGCCUGGUAGCAGCUCCAGGUUGGUGAAAGCAACAAAAGAAAGCCAAUAUCUGAAGAAGAGCAUCCCAGUUUAGCCCUCAGAAUUAGCUUCCCCAGAUUAAAAUUAAACAAACAGGACUUCAAAAUAAAAACGCCAGCCUGGUGCAGUGGCUCACACCUAUAAUCCCAGCACUUUGGGAUGCCAAGGCAGGCGGAUUGCUUGAGCCCAGAAGCUCGAAACCAGCCAUGGGCAACAUAACAAGACCCCGUCUCAAAGGAAAUACAAAAAUUAGUCAGGCAUGGUGGCACCCACCUGUAGUCCCAGCUACUUAGGAGGCUGAGGUGGAAGGACUGCUUGAGCCUAAAAGCUCAAGGCUGCAGUGAGCCAUGAUUGUGCCACUGCACUCAGGCCUGGGCAACAUAGCGUGACCCUGUCUCAAAAAGUGGAAAUACCAAACAAAGAAGAAAAGUAAAGCACUUUGAGUGAGAAAGUGCCACCAGAAAUACAAACAAUGGGUUUAGACUCCUAAGAAUUUAAGAUAUUGGUAUUAUCAGAUAUGGACCAUAAAAUACCAAUGUAGUACACAGUUACGUAAACUUUUAGCACUGAAUUUUAAAAAUGAGCAAGUAAUAAAAAACUAUUAGGACUGACCAGGCAGGUUUAAAUGAGAGCCAAACAGAUUCUUUCCCCCGGGCUCCCAAAAGACAGGGUCUUGCUCUGUUGCCCAGGCUGGAGUGCAGUGGUGCGAUCAUAGCUCACUGCAGCCUCAACCUCCUGGGCUCAAGGGAUCCUCCUGCCUUAGCCUCCCAAGUAGCUAUGACUAUAGGUGAGCGCCACCAUGUCUGGUCAAUUUUUAAAUUUUUUGAAGAGAUGGGGGGGUCUUACUUUGUUGCCCAGGCUGGUCUUGAACACCUCGCCUCAAGGAAUCUUCCCACCUUGGCCUCUCAAAGAGCUGGGAUUACAGGCAUGAGCCACUGUGCCUGGCCCCAAAUAGAACUUUUUAAAAUGAAAAACAUUUUAAAUUAAAAUUAUAGUGAAUGGUUUUAACAGCAGAAAAGGUGUGAAAAAUUAUAGAAAUGCAAUAUAGAUGUGAAGAAAUGAUGCAGCAUGCAGCUCAGGGAGAGAAGGGUGGAAAGUAUAAAUGUGAGAUUAAAAGGGAAUGGGCCAGGCUCGGUGGCUGACGCCUGUAAUCCCAGCAUGAUUUUGGAGGCCGAGGUGGGUGGAUCAUUUGAGGUCAGGAGUUUGAGACCAGCCUGGCCAACAUGGUGAAACCCCACCUCUACUAAAAAAAAUACAAAAAUUAGGCAGGCAUGGUGGUGGGCGCUUGUUGUCCCAGCACUUGGGAGGCUGAGGCAGGAGAAUCGCUUGAACCCAGGAGGCGGAGGUUGCAGUGAGCCAAGAUUGCGCCACUGCACUCCAGCCUGGGUGACAGAGUAAGACACUGUCUCAAAACAAACAAACAAACAGAAAAACAGAAUGAAGACUUGGCACUUGUAACUUGAGUCUCAGAUAGAUACAAUGAGAUAAUGCCUGAUAAAUUUUCAGAAAUGACAAAAGGCAUGAAUUCAUAGAUACAGGAAGCAUACUGUAAACCAGGUAGAAUAAAUAAAGAGUUCCACACUUAGACACCUUGGCAUGAAACUGAGGAACACCAAGUCAAAAGGUAUUGCCAAAGAGGCCAGAGAUAUAUCACCUACAACAAAAGGCACCAUACUGAUUUCUGAAAAACAACAAUGGAAGCCAGAAGUCAGUAAUAUGAUCCAGUAUUUCAUUAACUUUAAGAUGCCAUCAAUGCUAAAUCACACCACUAUUUUAUACAGCACCAGUAAAGAAAAAAAGUAAUGUCAAAUUAUGAUAUGCACCAGAAUAUCUCAAAUGUAGGAAAUAAAGGUAUACAAGGAACUUGAUAAACAGGUGGUAAUUUAUUUUAUACAAAAAUGUGUGUAUAAGAUAAUAAAAAUGUCUAACUUAUGGGGUUCUAAAAAUCAGAGGUUAGGCUGGGCACGGUGGCUCACGCCUGUAAUCCCAGCACUUGGGAGGCAGGAUUACAGGCAGGUGAGGCGGGCGGAUCACCUGAGGUCAGGAGUUUGAGACCAGCCUGGCCAACAUGGCAAAACCCCGUCUCUACUAAAAGUACAACAAAGCCCAGCAUGGUGGCACACAUCUGUAAUCCCAGCUACUCGGGAGGCUGAGGCAGCAGAAUCGCUUGAACCCGGGAGGUGGAGGUUGCAGUGAGCCGAGAUUGCGCCACUGCACUCCAGCCUCGGUGACAGAGCGAGACUCCAUCUCAAAAUAAUAAUAAUAAUAAUAAUAAUAAUAAUAAUAGUAAUAAUAAUAAUAAAAUCAGAGGUUAGAAUAUUGGCCUACAAUAGCAUGUAAGUAGGGAAGGGGUUGAUCAGACUUAUGAUGUUCCAAAGUCCAUUAUAAGUAAAGAACGGGUUAUGAUACCAGAUAACUUUAGAUUGUAUUGAGUAUGCAUUGAAAAAGUUCAGGAGUAAACACAAGAAAAAUAUAAAUAGAAUGUAAAACUUUAAACCUAGUACAGAGGGAGAAAUGGAAUAAUAACAAUAAUAAAACCAAACAGCCAAUCAAUAAGUAAUGGAAAAAACGCAUAAAAGAGAAACAAAUAGUACAAAAUAACAUGAUAGAAGUCUUCAUGUUUUAAGAAUUAUAAUAAAUGUAAAUGGAAUAAAGUUGUCUACUAAAGGGUAGAGAUGGCCAAAUGAAAAGCCAAAAUCCAGAUUUAUUUGACUUACAAGAGACAAAACUAAACCAUCAACACGUAGGAGGUAAAAGGAUUUAAAGAUAUACACUAAAUACCAACCAAAGCUAUAUUGAGAUAACAGAAAACAGAUUUUUAUUUGCUAAGGCAAAAAGCAUUAGCAAUAAGGAAGUCACUACAUAACAAGAAGAGUUCAACUCACCAGGACAACACAAGAAUUCCACACUUUAUUCACUCAAUAGAAUGUAUAAAGUUAAAACUGAUAAAAGAGGGGAAAUUGUCAAAUCUACCAUUACAGUAGGAGAAUUCAAAAUACCUUUAUCAAUUAUUAAUAGGUCAGACAAAAGUUAGUAAAGAUAUGAAAGAUUUGAACAACACAAUUAACAAGCAGUGCCACAUAUGUAGAAAACAAUCAGAGGCCAGGUGCCUUGGCUUACGCCUGUAAUCCCAACACUUCGGGAGGCCAAGGCCGGAGGAUCAUUUAAGCCCAGGAGUUCCAGACCAGCUUGGGCAACAUACCCAGCUACUCAGGAGGCUGAGGUGGGAGGACUGCUUAAGCCCAGGAUGUUGAGGCUGCAGUGAGCCAAGAUCAUGCCAUCGUACAUGCCUAGGGGACACAGUGAGACCAGUUUCCAAAAAAAAAAAGGAAACAUAAUUAGGAAGCACAUGUGAAACACUUAAAAAACUGGCCAUACUGUGGCUGGGUGCGGUGGUUCACGCCUGUACUCCCAGCACUUUGGGAGGCCGAGGCGGGCGAAUCACGAGGUCAGGAGUUUGAAACCAGCCUGGCCAACAUGGUGAAACCCCGUCUCUACUAAAAAUAUAAAAAAUUAGCUGGGAGUAGUGGCGGACGCCUGUAAUCCCAGCUACUCGGGAGGCUGAGGCAGGAGAAUCGCUUGAACCCGGGAGGCGGAGGUUGCAGUGAGCUGAGAUCGUGCCACUGCACUCCAGCCUGGCGACAGAGCAAGACCGUGUCUCAAAAAAAAAAAAAAAAGGAAAAAAAAGUGGCCACACCUGGACGUAAAACAAGUCUCAAAAAUUUUCUAGCUAGGUGUGAUGACUCAUGCCUAGAAUCCUAGCUACUUGGGAGGCUGAGGCAGGAUUGCAGGAGGCCAGGUGUUCAAGACCAGCCUGGGCAACAUACUGAGACCCCCAUCUUUAAAAAUAAAAAUUAUAAAGCCAGUGCCUAUAGUCCUAGCUAUUCAGGAGGCUGAAGAGGGAGGAUCACUUGUAAGAGCCCAGGAGUUUGAGGCUGCAGUGAGCCAUGGUCACGCCACUGCACUCCAGUCUGGGCAACAGAGAGAGACCCUGACACUAAACAAACAAACAAAACCUCUAAUAGGUAAUACAAUUUACAUUUGUGUUUCCUGGGGCUGCUGGAACAAAUUUAUCACAAACUCAGUGGUUUAAAACAACAGAAAUUUAUUCUCACAGUUCCCUGGAGACCAGAAGUCCAAAAUGAGUGUUACUACACCAAAAUCAAAUUGUUGGUGGGAUGCUUCAUCCUCCAGAAUUUCUAGGAGAGAAUCUGUUCCUUGACCCUUCCUUUUUUUUUUUUUUUUUUUUUUUUUUUUUUUGUGGCUACUGAUAUUCCUUGGUUUGUGGCUGCAUCACUCCAGUCCUCACCUUCAUGAUCACACUGCCUUCUCCUCUUCUGUCUGCAAUCUCCCUGCCUCUGAUUAAAGACACUUGUGAUUGCAUUUAGGACCUACCUAGAUAAUCCAAGAAAAUCUCCCCAUCUCAAGAUCUCCAAUUUAAUCACAUCUGCAAACACCUCAUUUCCACGUAAGGUAACAUAGGGUUCAUGGAUUAGGACCUGAUGUCUUGGGGGCCAUUAUUCAGCCUACUACAACAUAUAUUUAUAUACUUGUGCCUGGAUGAGUUCUCAGUACUUUAAGUGUCUUAACUUCCUCUCAAACAAUAUAUGACAUAGGUGCUAUUAUUUCCAUUUUUCAGAUGGUAAAGCUGAGGCAGAGAAAGGCUAUAAAAAUUUGCCCAGGCUUUAUCAUACUCGCAUGUUCUUUGACCACAUGCAAUUAGUUAGAACAAAAGCUAUUUUUAAACUUUCUAUUCUGAAAUGAUUCCAGAUUUACAGUAAAUCUGCAAAACAGUACAAAGUAUCCAUAUACCUCCACAUAGAUUUUCCAAAGGUUAACAUCUGACCCCAUUUACUCUACCAUUUUCUCUCUCUAUAAUUUUUCCUAAACCUUUUGUGAUUCAGUUGCAUAUCAAUAUUCCGUUAACCCUAAACGCUCCAGUGUCUAUUUCCUAAAAAACAAGGACUUUUUCAAGGAACCAUGACAUUAUUAUCAAAAUCAGGAAGUCACACUGAUAUAAUGCUAUUAAUAAUUUACAGACCUUACUCAAAUUUUACCGAAUGUCUCAAAAAUGUCCGAAAGAACAAAAGUUUAAAAAAUGCUUUCUUGACCAAGAUCCAGUCCAGAAACACGUGCUGCAGGUACUUGUCACGUCACUUUAGUCUCCUUUAACUUGAAAUUUUUGAGAAGUAUAGGCUGGUAACUUUGUAGGAUAUUCCUCAUUUUAUCUUUUUCUGAUAUUUCUCUCUACUAUGUUCAUGUUAUGCAUUUUUGGCAGGAAUAUCACAUAAUUAAUGUUGUGUCUUCAGCACAUUUUAUCAGGAUUCACAAAAUAUAAAAUUGUCUUAUUAAUAGUGAUAUUAACAUUACAAAAUUUUUUUGAAAAGGAAAUACAUUUAUAAAACUCUUAAGUCUGUGCAUUUAAAAAUACUGUAAAAUAAUUAACAGGUCAAAUAAAUCAUAAUGUAAAGAUAUGAAUGGAAAAGCAAUAAAAAUGUGUAUAUAUACAUGUUUGUAUACAUGCAUACACUCAAUCAUGGGGUGAGGCAAAGGAGGUAAUUCAAAUAAACUCAGAUACUUACUAAAAAUAGAAAAAACCUUGAACAUGAAUGAGUUAAAUGUCCAAUUUAUGAAAUGAGAAAACAACAGAACAAACCAUCAGAAAGCAGAACAUAAAAGAGAAGGGCAGAGAGAAUGAACAAAGCUAAGACUGGUUCUUUAAAAAAAUAAAAUAGACAAACUUCUGGUAAAACGGCCAAGGAAAAGAAAGUGAGAAGAUACAAACAGUAUCGGAAAAGGAAGUAUGCAUAUCCAGGAGAGGUUUAGAAAUAAGAAAAUUCCUUAAGCUACUUUAUGCUAAUAAAUUGUAAAAUGGGUAAAUGCUUAGAUUUUUUUUCAAAAUUGACUCAAGAAAAAAAAAUAGAAUUCCUGAAUAGUCUAAUUAUAGUAGUUAAAGUCUUCCCACCAAUAAAUACCAGGGCCAGACAGCUUUAUAAACUUUUAACAAACAGAUCAUUCCAAUCUUUUGCAAAUUCUUAUGGAGAACAGGAAAAAAGGCAACACUUUCCAAUUCAUUUAAUGGAGUUAUAAUCUUGACACCAUAAACUGACCAAAAAAGUGUAAGAAAGGCAGACUGCAGGCCAAUUUCAUGUAGAUGCAAGAAUCCCAGGUAAAAUACUUGAAACAAACUGAUUUCAGUAGUGUAUAAAGAUAAGGAAAUAUAACCAAGAAUGGAGAAGUGAUUCUUGUCUACUCUAGUCUUUCUGUGUUCAAUCCUUUUUUUUUUCUUUUCUUUCUUUUUUUUUCUUUUUGAGAUGGUGUCUCACUCUGUCGCCUAGGUUGAAGUGCAGUGGCACAAUCUCGGCUCACUGCAACCUCCGCUUCCCAGGUUCAAGGGAUUCUCCCACCUCAGCCUCCUGAGUAGCUGGGACUACAGGUGUGCACCACUGAGCCCAGCUAAUUUUUGUAUUUUUUUUAGAGGCAGGGUUUCACCAUGUUGGCCAGGCUGGUCUUGAACUCCUGACCUCAUGAUCAGCCGGCCUCAGCCUCCCCAAAGUGCUGGGAUUACAGGCAUGAGCCACUGCGCCUGGCCCGUCUGUGUUCAAAUCUUAUCUAGUAUGCAUUAGAACAUAAAAUCAAGUCAACAUAAAGUUAAGUCUGAAAUUUUUACUUGACUAUUUUGAAGGUUUGGAGUAUACUGUUUUCUCUUUUAACAUAAUUUUUCUUUUCAUGUGCCUAGAAAAAUACAUUUUUACGUCAUCACCUUCACCCUGGAGUGUCAAAUACAAGUGGGUGCUUGCCAAGUUGAAGCAAUCAAAGCCACAGCUCAGAAGUUUUGAAAUUCUUAAGGGAUUUUCUAGCCAGAAUUACAACUGCUUUCUUUUUUUGAGACAGGGUCUUACUAUGUCACUCAGACUGGAGUGCAGUAGUAGUUCAAUCAUAGCUCACGGUAGCUUCUAAUCCCUGGGCUCAGGCAAUCCUCCUGCCUCAGCCUUCCAAGUAGCUGGGACUACAGGUGCGUGCCACCACACCUGGCUAAUUUUUUAUUUUUUAAUUUUUUUGUAGAGACAAGAGCUUGCUACGUUGCCCGGGCUGGGCUUGAACUCCCGGGCUCAAGCAAUCCUCCUGUCUCAGCCUCCCAAAGCAUUGAGUUUACAGGUGUAAGCCACUGUGCUUAGCCUACAACUAUUUUCUAACUGGGAUAAAAGAAAAAGAGAGUAUUUUGUAUACUUGCAAGAGAAUCCCUCCUCUAUCUACCACCACUACACUAAAACCAACUCACCAACCAACCAACCAACCAACUAACCAACCAAUGUGUGAAAGCAGAUAAAAUACUGUCCAGGUCAUUGUGGUGUCACCAUUUCUACAAUGAAAUGAGAGGAAAAAAGGGCAAACAAUGUGUUUUUCAUAAAGCUAUAUAUUUAUUCAACUUAAAUGACAACCUUUAUUCUGAGAUUACAUUCUUCCUAAUUUUAGGGGCUAAAAUAUAUUUUCUUUUACAUAAUGAUGCUGUUAAAAAUUAUAAUGCCAUUUCUAUGAAGUCAUUACUUUUAUAGGACUAGCCUGUGUCAUAUGUGUGAUCA
rnacentral:lncRNA from 10 species